GGCACUGCCGCACACAGGGCUCGUUGCUGGUGUCAGCCAGAGGGGCCGGGGUGGCCACCCCGCAGCUGGGGAUGCACAGGCUGGAGCAGGACAUCGUUGAGACUAGGAAAGGCUUCUGGAAAACACCCAGGGAAGAAAGAGGUAAAGGUGUGAGGAAGGAAUUUCCCAGAGAGAGGUCCCCAAGAAGCUUCGGAGAGCUGCACUUACCUAAGUGAUGAGAAGAGUCAAGUGGAGAAGUGUGGAUGGAGCUGUGCAAGGAGCUCAUCCCUUUUAUACACCCCAGAGAGGCUGGGGCAUCAGGAAUGGGGGCGGUGACAAAAAACCCCGAGUAAUUAGGAAUUCAAGCUGACAAGCUCGAUCAGAGAGAUAAUGUUGCAAGAUAAUUCCAUGACAUCCCCUCCUUGGGGACACAGGUGUGAAAACGUGUCCUGGACAUGAAGGAAGUGACGGGAGGGACAGCCGUGGCCCAUAAUUACAUGACAGACACCAUGCUGCUGCAGCUCACUCAGCUCACAUCCCCAAUAAACCCAGCUUUGUCCCUAAUCCCUCACUUUGCUUACAGAGAACAAUUCCUGGCAUCUUGCAGCACCUUUGAAGUGCUGCCCCAGCCAUCACCUCUGUCAUUAUCGGCCUUUUUACGGGCUGGUAAACAGAGGCAGCGGCAGCUUGGGCAAAGCAGAAGCCACUCUCGGGGUGUCUCCCAAAUCCCACCCACUGCCAGUGCCAGCAAAUGUGCUCAUGGCCAGGCCCUUUGAGAGAUGUAUAAAAGGUCCAAGGGUUCCACAGAGCUCUAUCCACCUUCCACCGCUUGACUCGCCUUAUCACCUUGG
rnacentral:lncRNA from 1 species